rnacentral:rRNA from 1 species
AACGAACGCUGGCGGCGUGGAUAAGACAUGCAAGUCGAACGAGAGAAUUGCUAGCUUGCUAAUAAUUCUCUAGUGGCGCACGGGUGAGUAACACGUGAGUAACCUGCCCCCGAGAGCGGGAUAGCCCUGGGAAACUGGGAUUAAUACCGCAUAGUAUCGAAAGAUUAAAGCAGCAAUGCGCUUGGGGAUGGGCUCGCGGCCUAUUAGUUAGUUGGUGAGGUAACGGCUCACCAAGGCGAUGACGGGUAGCCGGUCUGAGAGGAUGUCCGGCCACACUGGAACUGAGACACGGUCCAGACACCUACGGGUGGCAGCAGUCGAGAAUCAUUCACAAUGGGGGAAACCCUGAUGGUGCGACGCCGCGUGGGGGAAUGAAGGUCUUCGGAUUGUAAACCCCUGUCAUGUGGGAGCAAAU